GACGAACGCUGGCGGCGUGCUUAACACAUGCAAGUCGAGCGAGGCCCCUCCUUCGGGAGGGUGUCCUAGCGGCGAACGGGUGAGUAACACGUGGGCAACCUGCCCUCAGCUCUGGGAUAACUCCGGGAAACCGGGGCUAAUACCGGAUACGACCUCCACGGGCAUCUGCGGAGGUGGAGAGUUUUUCGGCUGAGGAUGGGCCCGCGGCCUAUCAGCUAGUUGGUGGGGUAGUGGCUCACCAAGGCGACGACGGGUAGCCGGCAUGAGAGGGGGACCGGCCACCCUGGGACUGAGACACGGCCCAGACUCCUACGGGAGGCAGCAGUGGGGAAUAUUGCGCAAUGGGCGAAAGCCUGACGCAGCGACGCCGCGUGAGGGACGAAGGCCUUCGGGUUGUAAACCUCUUUCAGCAGGGACGAAGCGAAAGUGACGGUACCUGCAGAAGAAGCACCGGCCAACUACGUG
rnacentral:rRNA from 1 species